rnacentral:rRNA from 1 species
UACGGGGGGAGCAAGCGUUGUUCGGAUUUACUGGGCGUAAAGGGCGCGUAGGCGGCCUCCGCAAGUCAGUUGUGAAAUCUCCGAGCUUAACUCGGAAAGGUCAACUGAUACUGCGGGGCUAGAGUGCGGAAGGGGCAACUGGAAUUCCCAGUGUAGCGGUGAAAUGCGUAGAUAUUGGGAAGAACACCUGAGGCGAAGGCGGGUUGCUGGGCCGACACUGACGCUGAGGCGCGAAAGCCAGGGGAGCAAACGGG